CCAAGGUCCAUUUUCAGUGGGAUGAACACCAGUCAUUUGUCUCGCUGGUAACGUCAUGAUGGCUGAUCCUGAGUAGGAAGAGGUGACAAAUUCCAAAUGAAAAAGAUGAAAGUUGAGAACGAAAUAGGCAUGGGAGAGUUGGAAAGAGCUGCAUUUAAUCAGCAAAGACCUGAAGAAACAGGAGAGCAUGAUGUGCUUUGUGGAGACAGUGUUGUGGCACAGUGCCCCUAUCUCUGAGCCAGGAAGCUUGGACUCAAGUUCCACCUACUCCAUAGAUGUGUAAUAAUUAGAGGUUGAUUUGAAAAUAUCUGAAGUGAAGGUGAAUGAUCGGAUGGAGGAGUACGCAGGCUGUCAAAGUUGCUACCCUCCAAAGGUGCAGCGCUCUGCAAGUUUGUACUUCCAAGUAACCCAGUGUUGAGUGAUUUUUAACUUUGUCCACCCCAGUCCAACACCGGCACCCUCUACAUCAUAUCU